GACGAACGCUGGCGGCGCGCUUAACACAUGCAAGUCGAACGGAAAGACCCUGCUUUUGUGGGGUGCUCGCGUGGCGAACGGGUGUGUUACACGUGAGUAACCUGCCCUUGACUUUGGGAUAACUUCAGGAAAGUGGUGCUAAUACCGGAUAGGAGCUCCUGCUGCAUGGUGGGGGUCGGAAAGUAUCGGCGGUUGGGGAUGGACUGGCGGCUUAUCAGCUUGUUGGGUGGGUAGUGGCUUACCAAGGCAUUGACGGCUAGUCGGCCUGGGAGGGUGACCGCCGACAUUACGACUGCGAUAGGCACCAGUCUGCAACGGUAGGCAGAAGUGGGGAAUAUGACCCAACGGGCGGAAGCCUGAUGCAGAAACCCCGCGAGCGGGAUGACGGCCUUCGUGUGGUAAACCGCUGUCACCUAUGACGUAGCGUGAGUGACGGUAAUGAGUAAAGAAGCACCGGCUAACUACGUG
rnacentral:rRNA from 1 species